rnacentral:rRNA from 1 species
UACGUAGGGGGCGAGCGUUGUCCGGAUUCAUUGGGCGUAAAGCGCGCGUAGGCGGCGGGGUAAGUCGGCCGUGAAAUCUCCCGGCUCAACUGGGAGGGGUCGGGCGAGACUGCCGCGCUGGAGGCGGGCAGAGGGCGGUGGAAUUCCGGGUGUAGUGGUGGAAUGCGUAGAGAUCCGGAGGAACACCAGUGGCGAAGGCGGCCGCCUGGGCCUGGCCUGACGCUGAGGCGCGAAAGCGUGGGGAGCGAUCCGGAUUAGAAACCCCCGUAGUCC